rnacentral:rRNA from 1 species
AGCUCUCCGAGUGGUGUGGAUGUUUAUUGGGCCUAAAGCAUCCGUAGCUGGCUAAGUUAGUCCCUUGUUAAAUCCACCGAAUUAAUCGUUGGAUUGCGGGGGAUACUGCUUGGCUAGGGGACGAGAGAGGCAGACGGUAUUUUGGGGUAGGGGUGAAAUCCUAUAAUCCCAGGAAGACCACCAGUGGCGAAGGCUGUCUGCUAGAACGCGCCCGACGGUGAGGGAUGAAAGCUGGGGGAGCGAACC